rnacentral:rRNA from 1 species
UACGAAGGGGCUAGCGUUGUUCGGAUUUACUGGGCGAAAGCGCACGUAGGCGGAUUGGUCAGUUAGGGGUGAAAUCCUGGAGCUCAACUCCAGAACUGCCUUUAAUACUGCCAGUCUCGAGUCCGGAAGAGGUAAGUGGAACUGCGAGUGUAGAGGUGAAAUUCGUAGAUAUUCGCAAGAACACCAGUGGCGAAGGCGGCUCACUGGCCCGGUACUGACGCUGAGGUGCGAAAGCGUGGGGAGCAACAGG